rnacentral:rRNA from 1 species
UUCUUUCAGAGAUGAAUUGAAAGUAAAUUCUGCUCAAUGAAAUUUUUAAAUAGCUACAUUAAUGUACUAAGGUAGCAUAAUCAAUUGUUUAUUAAUAGUAAACUAGAAUGAAGGAAUUUAUAAUUAAUGGCUUUAUUUAAAGUAAAAUUUUAAUUUAGAUUUUUAGUAAUAAUACUAGAAUAUGAUUUAGGGACGAGAAGACCCUAUAAAGCUUAAUAUAUUUUAUUAUAAUUUAGGUUUAAUAAAAUAUAUUUAAUUGGGGUAAUUUAUUAUAAAAAUAUAAUAUAAUAAUAAUAAAUGUAAUAAUAAAUAAUUAUGAGAGAACCAUUAAUAAUGGUUAAUUGAUAAAGUUACUUUAGGGAUAACAGUAUAAUUUCAAUUAAAUAGUACAAAUUAAUAAUAGAGAUUAUAACCUCGAUGUUGAAUUAAUAGUAAUUUAUAGUGAAGAAGCUGUACGUAAUUGACUGUUCCUCCAUUACAUUAUUACA